GCAAGGUUAACCGAAUAGGGGAGCCGAAGGGAAACCGAGUCUUAACUGGGCGUUAAGUUGCAGGGUAUAGACCCGAAACCCGGUGAUCUAGCCAUGGGCAGGUUGAAGGUUGGGUAACACUAACUGGAGGACCGAACCGACUAAUGUUGAAAAAUUAGCGGAUGACUUGUGGCUGGGGGUGAAAGGCCAAUCAAACCGGGAGAUAGCUGGUUCUCCCCGAAAGCUAUUUAGGUAGCGCCUCGUGAAUUCAUCUCCGGGGGUAGAGCACUGUUUCGGCAAGGGGGUCAUCCCGACUUACCAACCCGAUGCAAACUGCGAAUACCGGAGAAUGUUAUCACGGGAGACACACGGCGGGUGCUAACGUCCGUCGUGAAGAGGGAAACAACCCAGACCGCCAGCUAAGGUCCCAAAGUCAUGGUUAAGUGGGAAACGAUGUGGGAAGGCCCAGACAGCCAGGAUGUUGGCUUAGAAGCAGCCAUCAUUUAAAGAAAGCGUAAUAGCUCACUGGUCGAGUCGGCCUGCGCGGAAGAUGUAACGGGGCUAAACCAUGCACCGAAGCUGCGGCAGCGACACUAUGUGUUGUUGGGUAGGGGAGCG
rnacentral:rRNA from 1 species